rnacentral:rRNA from 1 species
GGGGAAUAUUGCACAAUGGGGGGAACCCUGAUGCAGCGACGCCGCGUGAGCGAAGAAGGUUUUCGAAUCGUAAAGCUCUGUCCUAUGAGAAGAUAAUGACGGUAUCGUAGGAGGAAGCCCCGGCUAAAUACGUGCCAGCAGCCGCGGUAAUACGUAUGGGGCGAGCGUUGUCCGGAAUUAUUGGGCGUAAAGGGUACGUAGGCGGUUUUUUAAGUCAGGUGUGAAAGCGUGAGGCUUAACCUCAUUAAGCACUUGAAACUGGAAGACUUGAGUGAAGGAGAGGAAAGUGGAAUUCCUAGUGUAGCGGUGAAAUGCGUAGAUAUUAGGAGGAAUACCGGUGGCGAAGGCGACUUUCUGGACUUUUACUGACGCUCAGGUACGAAAGCGUGGGGAGCAAACAGGAUUAGAUACCCUGGUAGUCCACGCCGUAAACGAUGAGUGCUAGGUGUUAGACCCUUUCCGGGGUUUAGUGCCGUAGCUAACGCAUUAAGCACUCCGCCUGGGGAGUACGACCGCAAGGUUG